rnacentral:rRNA from 1 species
UAACACGUAUCCAACCUGCCGUCUACUCUUGGACAGCCUUCUGAAAGGAAGAUUAAUACAAGAUGGCAUCAUGAGUUCACAUGUUCACAUGAUUAAAGGUAUUCCGGUAGACGAUGGGGAUGCGUUCCAUUAGAUAGUAGGCGGGGUAACGGCCCACCUAGUCUUCGAUGGAUAGGGGUUCUGAGAGGAAGGUCCCCCACAUUGGAACUGAGACACGGUCCAAACUCCUACGGGAGGCAGCAGUGAGGAAUAUUGGUCAAUGGGCGAGAGCCUGAACCAGCCAAGUAGCGUGAAGGAUGACUGCCCUAUGGGUUGUAAACUUCUUUUAUAAAGGAAUAAAGUCGGGUAUGGAUACCCGUUUGCAUGUACUUUAUGAAUAAGGAUCGGCUAACUCCGUGCCAGCAGCCGCGGUAAUACGGAGGAUCCGAGCGUUAUCCGGAUUUAUUGGGUUUAAAGGGAGCGUAGAUGGAUGUUUAAGUCAGUUGUGAAAGUUUGCGGCUCAACCGUAAAAUUGCAGUUGAUACUGGAUAUCUUGAGUGCAGUUGAGGCAGGCGGAAUUCGUGGUGUAGCGGUGAAAUGCUUAGAUAUCACGAAGAACUCCGAUUGCGAAGGCAGCCUGCUAAGCUGCAACUGACAUUGAGGCUCGAAAGUGUGGGUAUCAAACAGGAUUAGAUACCCUGGUAGUCCACACGGUAAACGAUGAAUACUCGCUGU